AUGUCGCAAGGACAGAGGGGAGCAAUAGGAAUCCCGCUCGCGGUUCUCUCUCUGGCCAUCCUCCUCCACGUCGCCGGCUGCAGCCCUCCUCCGGAGCCGGUGGUCUGCACGCACGGCACAUCCAACUGCACGGUCACCAACUCGUUCGGCUCCUUCCCGGACCGCAGCACCUGCCGCGCGGGCAACGUCGCCUACCCGCGCACGGAACAAGAGCUCGUGGCGGCCGUCGCGGCGGCGGCGGCGGCGAAGCGCAAGAUGAAGGUCGCCACCAAGUACUCACACAGCCUCCCCAAGCUGGCGUGCCCCGGCGGCCUGGACGGCACCAUCAUUAGCACGGCGCGGCUCAACCGGACUGUGCGCGUGGACGUGGAGAGCAGGCUUAUGACGGUGGAGAGCGGCAUGGUCCUCCGGGACCUGAUCGAGGCCGCCGGCGCCGCACCCGCAGGGCUGUCCCUGCCGCACUCGCCGUACUGGUACGGCCUAACCAUCGGGGGGCUCCUGUCGACGGGCGCGCACGGCAGCUCGCUGUGGGGCAAGGGCGGCGCCGUGCACGAGUACGUGGUCGGGCUGAGGAUCGUGACGCCGGCGCCGGCGAGCCAGGGGUUCGCCGUGGUGAGGGAGCUCGGCGCCCAUCACCCGGACCUGGACGCGGCAAAGGUCUCCCUCGGGGUUCUCGGCGUCGUCUCUCAGGUCACGCUGGCGUUGCAGCCGCUGUUCAAGCGGUCGGUGGCGUUCGUGAAGCGCGACGACUCAGACCUGGCGGACCAAGUGGCAGCAUGGGGCCGCCUCCACGAGUUCGCCGACAUGACGUGGCAGCCGGAGCAGCGCAAGGUCAUCUACCGCCAGGACGACCGCGUCGACGUGUCGUCGCCGGGCAACGGCCUCAGCGACACACUCCUUGCCCGGUCCGCCCCCACGCUCAUGCUCGUCGAUGCAAGGGCCGAGGAGCGGCUGCAGGAGAACGGCACCACCGCCGCCGACCUGUGCGCGGCGGCGCGGCCGCUGGCGGACACGGUGGAACGGCAGGCCUACGGCUACACAAACGACGGCGUCUCAUUCACGGGGUACCCGGUCGUGGGCUACCAGCACCGCAUCCAGGCGUCCGGCACCUGCAUGGAUAGCCCGGAGGACGGUCUCCUCAGCGGCUGCCCUUGGGACCGGCGCAUCCGGGGCUCUUUCUACUACAACUCCGGCUUCAGCGUCGCGCUCUCCAAGGCGCCGGCGUUUGUGUCGGACAUGCAACGGCUCCGGGACCUCAACCCGGACAUCUUCUGCGCCGGCGUCGACACCAGGGUCGGCGUGCUCGUCCGCUACGUCAAGGCGUCCUCCGCUUACCUCGGCAAGCCGGAGGACUGCGUCGACUUCGACAUCAUCUACUACCGGAGCCGCACCUACGGCAUGCCGCGCGCGCACGCCGACGUGGUGGACGAGAUCGAGCAGAUGGCGCUACGCAAGUACGGUGGCCUCCCGCACUGGGGAAAGAACCGUAACUUGGCAUUCAGCGGUGUCAUCACGAAGUACCCGGGAGCUGGUAAAUUCCUCCGGGUGAAGGACAGCGAGUGGAGCGACCAGGUGCUCGGCAUCAAUGGAAGCCCCGACAUCGUCAAGGAGAGCUGCGCCGUGGAAGGACUCUGCAUCUGCUCUGAGGACUCGCACUGCGCGCCCGAGCGAGGCUACUUCUGCCGGCCAGGAAAGGUGUACGACGAGGCCAGAGUUUGCUUGUUCCUCCAGGACUAG
rnacentral:rRNA from 1 species